CACAUGCAAGUCGAACGAUGAUAGAAGAGCUUGCUUUUCUUGAUUAGUGGCGCACGGGUGAGUAAUGCAUAGAUAAUGUGCCCCCUUAGUUCGGGAUAGCCACUGGAAACGGUGAUUAAUACCGGAUACUCCUUCUUGUUAUAAGACAAGUCGGGAAAGUUUUCCGCUAAGGGAUCAGUCUAUGUUCCAUCAGCUUGUUGGUGAGGUAAUGGCUCACCAAGGCUAUGACGGAUAUCUGGUUUGAGAGGAUGAUCAGACACACUGGAACUGAGACACGGUCCAGACUCCUACGGGAGGCAGCAGUGAGGAAUAUUGCACAAUGGAGGAAACUCUGAUGCAGCGACGCCGCGUGGAGGAUGACGCAUUUCGGUGUGUAAACUCCUUUUAUUAGGGAAGAUAAUGACGGUACCUAAUGAAUAAGCACCGGCUAACUCCGUGCCAGCAGCCGCGGUAAUACGGAGGGUGCAAGCGUUACUCGGAAUCACUGGGCGUAAAGGGUGCGUAGGCUGGCUUUUAAGUCAGAUGUGAAAUCCAAUGGCUCAACCAUUGAACUGCAUUUGAAACUGAAAGCCUAGAGUUCAGAAGGGGCAGAUGGAAUUAGUGGUGUAGGGGUAAAAUCCGUAGAUAUCACUAGGAAUAUCAAAAGCGAAGGCGAUCUGCCACAUGCAAGUCGAACGAUGAUAGAAGAGCUUGCUUUUCUUGAUUAGUGGCGCACGGGUGAGUAAUGCAUAGAUAAUGUGCCCCCUUAGUUCGGGAUAGCCACUGGAAACGGUGAUUAAUACCGGAUACUCCUUCUUGUUAUAAGACAAGUCGGGAAAGUUUUCCGCUAAGGGAUCAGUCUAUGUUCCAUCAGCUUGUUGGUGAGGUAAUGGCUCACCAAGGCUAUGACGGAUAUCUGGUUUGAGAGGAUGAUCAGACACACUGGAACUGAGACACGGUCCAGACUCCUACGGGAGGCAGCAGUGAGGAAUAUUGCACAAUGGAGGAAACUCUGAUGCAGCGACGCCGCGUGGAGGAUGACGCAUUUCGGUGUGUAAACUCCUUUUAUUAGGGAAGAUAAUGACGGUACCUAAUGAAUAAGCACCGGCUAACUCCGUGCCAGCAGCCGCGGUAAUACGGAGGGUGCAAGCGUUACUCGGAAUCACUGGGCGUAAAGGGUGCGUAGGCUGGCUUUUAAGUCAGAUGUGAAAUCCAAUGGCUCAACCAUUGAACUGCAUUUGAAACUGAAAGCCUAGAGUUCAGAAGGGGCAGAUGGAAUUAGUGGUGUAGGGGUAAAAUCCGUAGAUAUCACUAGGAAUAUCAAAAGCGAAGGCGAUCUGC
rnacentral:rRNA from 1 species